rnacentral:rRNA from 1 species
AGCGAACGCUGGCGGCAGGCCUAACACAUGCAAGUCGAACGGACCUUUCGGGGUUAGUGGCGGACGGGUGAGUAACACGUGGGAACGUGCCUUUAGGUUCGGAAUAGCUCCUGGAAACGGGUGGUAAUGCCGAAUGUGCCCUUCGGGGGAAAGAUUUAUCGCCUUUAGAGCGGCCCGCGUCUGAUUAGCUAGUUGGGGAGGUAAUGGCUCACCAAGGCGACGAUAAGUAGCUGGUCUGAGAGGAUGGCCAGCCACAUUGGGACUGAGACACGGCCCAAACUCCUACGGGAGGCAGCAGUGGGGAAGCUUGCGCAAUGGGCGAAAGCCUGACGCAGCCAUGCCGCGUGGAUGAUGAAGGUCUUAGGAUUGUAAAAUCCUUUCACCGGUGAAGAUAAUGACUGUAGCCGGAGAAGAAGCCCCGGCUAACUUCGUGCCAGCCGCCGCGGUAAUAC